rnacentral:lncRNA from 1 species
AGUCUUCUUCUUUGUCAAGCAUUUUCUCAACGCUAAAGCCUCCAUUAUUACCUCCAAUUAGUGGUACUACAACGAGGAAAUUGAGAGAUUCAAUUGAAGUUUCUGCCUGCUGCUCUUACCAGAAAUUCAUCCACAAACGCCAUACCCAUUUAAUUUCUUCUAUAUGGUGAUUUGCGUGUUUGAGCUUUUAUCCAACUUUAAUUGAUGUUUGGAGGAAUUUAUUACAAUUGAGAUUCAAUUGGGAUUUGAAAUUUAAAUUUCGUUUGUGGAUUUUUUUAAUCUAAUUGAACGAUUAAUAGAGUUGAAUGUUGCUGUCUGGAAUAGCAAUUCCAUCACUUAUGAUGAUUUGAACGGCACAGGAGAGCAAGUGCUUUUAUACACAUUGGAAUUUAUGCUAUCAGAUUGUUUGAUUCAACAACUUUUUCUGUUGCUGUAAAAUUAUAAAUUAUCUGACUUCUUUUGUGGCUAUUUCUUAGGAUUUAAUUGCAGAAGGUUCUAUCUCAAGGAUAUGAUAUGAUGAUACACUGUGGACAAUACAAACUAAAACUGGCAGGUAUUGCCUCAACUCCAUUAUCAUCAGUUUUUGGUGUUCUUUUACAUAUAAAAGAUAUAUGCAUGUUUCUAUAUACGUAUCUUUGUGAAUAUUAUUUGUUUCCAAAGGUAUUGUCAUAUAAUCCAGUUCAAUAUUGUGGCAUUAAGUGCUCUUUUAUUUAUACUAGAAAGGACUUUUUGUCAGAUACAACUUACUACAGAUUAUUUUGUUUAUUGAUGAACUUCUACUGUUAAAAGAGGGUUACAUUUUCAUACAUCCUAGAAAGAGAAAUUGAACUCUCAUUUGUGGAGAAAGGGAGUUUUGGAUGAUGGAGGAAUAGUUAAAUGCUUUAACAUUAGGGGCAGACCAAUUCACACAAUAAGGUGGGCAAUUACCCACCAUGAACUGGGUGGAAAAAAUUUAGUAGUGCUAAAAAUCUUAUUUAUAGAAGAAAUAAUGUAAAACUGUAAAUAUAUAAAAAUUUUGCCCAUCAUGAUUUUGAAACUUUUUUUGCUCUUGCAUCAAAUAUUGGAUGCGUCAUUUAUGGAUCUGGUUAACAUGAAGUUUAUUUUUUAGUAAGUUGGUCAAUUGACCAAUAGAAUGCUGACACACAUAGAGCCUCGCCUGCGUGUCAGCACUCUAUUGGCCAAUUGACCAACUUACCCAAAAAUAAACUUUAUGCUAACCACUUCCGUCAUUUAUAGAUCAGGGUUUCAAUAAUUAUCUACUUUAGCAUGUGAUGAGGGGAUUAUUUUUGGUGUUAUAUGGGAUUAUGGAUUGUAUUGUUUUGUGGUUAUCUAUUUAUUUAUUUUUGACUAAAUGGUGGCUCUUAAGGAAUUCUUUAAAUUUCUCAUGCUAUAUAUUAUAUUCAGGCAAGUACUUUUUAAUAUUAAUGUUACACUUAUAGUUUAGCUUAAAGAUUUUGCUUUGAUUUUACAUUCAUAAUUUUGUUCCAGCUUUUGGCUUUUGAAUGGGAACUCUCAUUAUGUGACCGAGGCGCAUAAUUUGUUUUGGAUAUAAAAUUUUGAUAUUUGUUUUUUAUUUAAAUUUUUUGGGAAUGAUAUGAAUAUAUGCACACUAAUGUGAUUAAUUGUGUGCUAAAAAUUUCAAAUUUUGUGCUUCAUUUGAUGUGUGGGUAAUGAAUUGGUUGAUGUGUGGGUUAUGAACUUCUUUUACCCUUUUGCUAUUUGAUCAUCCACCAACAUCUUUUGACACCUCCAAAGGUUGUAACUCUUGAUCAUUUUCUGUUUAUUUAGGUGGAUUGUUGGGUUUUUUGGAAAUCUCCAUAUGCUCUGUUGGGGAAAAGGUAACCAAGGAGUGAGAAAUAUCAAGGAGAUGGGUUUGUUUAUUUAUACAAGUGGGAAGGAUAAUGAGGUGGGGAAUUAUUGAGCUUUUUAUGGUGAAGCAGGUUCCUUUGUUCUUUAUGGUAUCAUUUGUUACCUGAGGGUAUAAUUGAGACAAAUACAUUCAAUUGAGCUUACACUCUGUUCUUGGAUUUUACAAUUAAUGAAAGAAUAAAAUAAAGUGACACCCCCUCUAGAUAAUCAUAAUAAUAUUCACCUCCCCUCUAGUUUCUUAAGUAACAGUUAGUACCCCUGCAAGUUCUUAGAGUUGACUAAAUAGAUAAAGUUACAUAUUUACCCUUGUAUUUUAUCAAAUUUUAAUUACUA